UCUUGUGGAUUCCCGAGAGUUUCCCUGGCACCAGGUUUCUCCCUAAACCCAAAAAUAACCAUGGUCUUCUAUUUCUAUUUUCAUAUUCUUAAGCUGGUGUAACCCAAGUCUAAAUGAUGACCAAUUUGGUUUUGUUUUUCGGGCAAAUAUCUCUGUCUCCCUUGUGACAUAUAUGUAACACACACACACACACACACACACACACACACACACACACACACAGGUUCCUCUUUAGGCAGCCAGAAAAUGGAACAUGUGGGUAGCAGAAUCAACUGACAGACUAUAAGCCUUUGAAAUUCUUUUUUUCUUUCCUUUUAUUGAAUAUAGAGUUUUUUGCUCUCUCAGAAUAUAUCCUGAUUGUGGCUUCCCCUCAUUCUCCUCCUCCUAGCUUUUCCGCACCUCCCCUCCCAUUAAAUGUAAUAAAAUGUAUUCUAAGAUACAUUAAAUAUAACAAGAUAAAACAAAAACUAACACCAGAACAGAACAAAACAGACAGAACGAAAAGAGCUCAAGAAGGCGCAUAAGAAAUAGAGACCCCCCCUCGUUCACACACCUAGGAAUUCCACAAAAAACACUAAACUGGAAGCCAUGAUAUAUACCCAAAGGACCCACAGGAUAUAAAGAGAGAAAAUAUAUACAAAAAAUAAUUUAAAAAAAAUAAGAUAACAUUUUAAAAAACUUCUAACACAACAUUGUGAGAUAAGAACAGCGCCCUGCCCAAAGAUUCCACUGAGUUCCUUUCUGUUGGCCACCUGCUGCUGGGCAUGCAGUCUAUCCUUAAGAGUGGUUUGUUUCCCCGGUGAGACUAACUUGGAGAAAACCGAAUUUUCACCCGCAAGUGAUUUAAUCAAAGCUACUUUUUGCAAAUGAGGAAAUUGAAGCGACCUGUUCUUUUGUCCUGGACCUACAGAGAGCAGUGGAAGGGCAUCAGACCGUGAAGCUCUCGGGUGUGUGGGCUCUAAAGGUAGCUAGACCUGCCGUGUGGCCUGAGAGUCCGUGUGCACAUGAUAAGAAUCAGUCUUGAUUCCCCAUGCAGGCACUGAUAAUACUGUUGUGUGAGUGAAAGCCAUGUUGUAGUCCAGAUGACAAUCAGCAGUCAGUAAUGGAUGCCAUGCCUUUGUGUUUGCUGGCAGUGUUUGUGCCCUCUACUCCUCUCUCCAGGGUCCUGGAAGCAUGUCCAACGUUGAUACCUGAGUCCUGGCCACUUGUCUGGCCAAGGAGAGUACAUGUUUGCUUUCUCUUUGCCUCUUCAGAACUUUGCACUUGUAAACAAGCAUUUUUAUGAAAUGAGAUUCUGUAGACUGGAAUCUACCAAACAUGCUGAUUAAUGUUUUCUUACAAGGCCUGUGUGUUGUAAUCUUGAACAAAUCAUAGGUCGAUAUUAUUUGUUUUAAAAUUCUAUAUUCAUUAAUGAACACCAAUAUUUCUUCAUUGUCCCAAAUUUCUUCAACUUUAUGAGAAUCCAUGGGAGAAAAAAAAAUCCAUCAAGAAAAAAAAAUUCACUCAAAAAGUUAAUGGUUAAUUAUAUUUGCUUGAAAAGAAUAUCAAGUCUUCAUUUCUCUCCAAUGGUGGAACUUCAUCUGAAACAAUGGCGAUUAUUAAAACUCUAUCUCUUAUUGUUUUCUUGAGCUACAUUAAAUGUGAGCUGAAGUUUUCUACAA